GCGAGUGAAGCGGCAACAGCUCAAAUUUGAAAUCUGGCCUCUUUGGGGUCCGAGUUGUAAUUUGUAGAGGAUGUUUCGGGUACCGCCUCGGUUUAAAUUUCUUGGAACAGAAUGUCAGAGAGGGUGAGAAUCCCGUCUUGGACCGGCGGUAGGGCCCAUGUGAAACUCCUUCGACGAGUCGAGUUGUUUGGGAAUGCAGCUCAAAAUGGGUGGUAAAUUUCAUCUAAAGCUAAAUAUUGGCCAGAGACCGAUAGCGCACAAGUAGAGUGAUCGAAAGAUGAAAAGCACUUUGAAAAGAGAGUUAAACAGUAUGUGAAAUUGUUGAAAGGGAAGCGCUUACAACCAGACUUGAGCGCGGCGGUUCCCCCUUCCUUUUGGUUGGGUUACUCCGUCGUGUCCAGGCCAACAUCGGUUCUGGGGGUCGGUUAAAGGCUCUGGGAAUGUACCUACCCUUCGGGCGUAGACUUAUAGCCCAGAGUGUCAUGCGACCUCCCGGGACCGAGGAACGCGCUUCGGCUCGGAUGUUGGCGUAAUGGUUGUCAGCGACCCGUCUUGAAACACGGACCAAGGAGUCUAACAUCUAUGCGAGUGUUUGGGUGUCAAACCCGGAACGCGGAAUGAAAGUGAACGGAGGUAGGAAGCUUCGGCUGCACUAUCGACCGAUCCUGAUGUCUUCGGAUGGAUUUGAGUAAGAGCAUAGCUGUUGGGACCCGAAAGAUGGUGAACUAUGCCUGAAUAGGGUGAAGCCAGAGGAAACUCUGGUGGAGGCUCGCAGCGGUUCUGACGUGCAAAUCGAUCGUCAAAUUUAGGUAUAGGGGCGAAAGACUAAUCGAACCAUUGAGUUACCUGGUGGUUAAGUGUGGCCACGAAAGUGGUUGCAAGUGCUGAAUUCUGGCGCGACACCGUCAAAUUGCGGGGACGUCCUAAAGCUUCGUCGACCGCCCUCUCCGUGAAAGCGGGUGAGGGCACCAGGUUAAUGACCUCGGGUAUGGUAAUACUGGCGAAGAUGCUACAAUGGAUAAUCUGCAGCCAAGUCCUACGGGCCUCUGACGAGACCUAGGGAUGCAGUUCACAGACUAAAUGGCGGUGGGCUUUUAACGAGGCUUAAGAUAUAGUCGGUCCCCCGAGGAAACUCGGGCGUGCACGCUAAACUCUGGGUGAAGAAUGCUCCCUCUCGAGGGGUCACCGAGAGCC
rnacentral:rRNA from 1 species